GUGAAGGGAGCGCGCCGGCUGUUGGGUCCCCAGCGCCCGCCCGGUGCGCCCGGCGGGCUGCUCGCGGGGCGCCGCCAGCGCCCUUCGUGAGGAAGGGAGGCGGCGUGGGUCUCCUCGACAGGCGCGUGCUUUGUGCCGCGCUGCCUGCACGCAGUUCGUAAGCGUUCGGGGACGUCCAGUGUGGUGCGGGGCUUAUCGACAAGGCAAAGGCCGCGGUGAGGUGACGAAGACGUGUCAUACGUUGCCAGACAUCCAGUGUGAGCGGGGCCCUGGUCUCUGGAAGGGCUGACCCUGCCACAGAACUGGAAGUAGGAUGCCUAAAUUGGUCCUCUCUAAGGGACUCCUGCGGGCUUUCCCCCACAAGCACUUAGGCAGUGAAGUAAUUUCACUUACAUGGGUAUGAAAAUUAGUGCCUCAUUUUUAAAACUAAACAGUGAAGAAGCGAUGAAUGGCUGCCUUUCUAAGUAAGCCUGGAAAACACACAAACCGAGUAGACCCAAGUGGCGAUGUAGCAUCAUUUCAGGACAUGAUGUCAUUACUGUAUUCUUCUACAUGCUGCCCAGAUCUGCAGUCACAUGCCUCUUCUGGAUGUUGUCCAAAAUGUAAACAAAGGUACAGGACUCCAUCAUGAACUCUCAACAGUUGACUCUGGGCAGCAAGGUGGGGAAAAGAGUGACAGUAUCUCCUCAGGAAGAAAGUGCUGUAUGUAUUGCACAGCUCUUCAGUGAACAAAGAUGCAAUAGGAUCAAGUAUCUAAUGGAUGAAACAAGAAACUCUCUGAAACAAAUUCCCUGUGGCAGUAAUCAUUAUCCCAUCUCUCAGUGUCUUCUGACUGAGACUGGAUGCCAUUCUGGAAGGUAUGUUUUACUAAAAACACAAGCUGUACUUCAGUCAAACCAACAGGAUUGGGGCUUUAAUCAAAAAUACGUGAAUAAACUUGAAUUGCCAGUACUGUACAGGAUGUUGGACUAGAUGAUGUGAUCAUAAACUGCAUGGACGUUUGUGUUUUUUUGGUGUUUGCUUUCAAGGUGGAUGUUUCUGUACCCAAAAGCUCAGUUUCCACAGUGUGGAAGUCUAGCUAACCCAGGCGGAACCUACAUCAGGCUCUGUGCAGUGGGGCAAUGGAACGAAAGUGUCUGUAGCUACAGCAGUUUAUCUCCUCCUACCUCAUGCACUAUUUUCAGCCUGUACCUUUAUAUUUGUAUAUGCAUUUUCGCUUUUAGCUUCCCCUCAUUGCAAUAUGGAGUCCCCUCCAGCUCUCUAACUCCACCCCCAAGAGAAAAUUUCCUUUUCUUCGUGCAAGGAAAAUGAAACAGCAAGAGGCAGUUUCAAAUAAGCCUCAAUGGCGCACACGCACAGAAAAUGGAACAUAAGACUCAGAGAAUGGUAAAUUCUGUAUAAAAAAAAUGAAUUUCAUGGCCACUAGGGAAAAUGCCGUACUCACAAAGCUGCAGAACGUUGGAUCUGUGAUACCCUGUGGAGAAGAACAAGAGUUAGUAACCGCUGCCUGUGAAAGCUGGCUGUUCGCUCCAAAACACGUCAGUACUUCGAAGCAUGCCAGUAUGGCUCCUUGGUGGCAGAUGUAAUUGCCCACGAAGAGUUUCUCAAGUCCAGGCAGCCAGGUGUGCCUGCCUUGACCAUCAAUUCCUAAUGCUACUGUGAGGU